rnacentral:lncRNA from 1 species
AUGGGCGGGAUCGGCGCGUCAGCCCUCAGCCCCACCCCCAGCGGAAGUGCCGCCGGGCCCGCCCCUCCCUCCCGAGGCCCGUUCCCCUCGCCCCUCCCCCGGCCCACUCUUCCUGGCGCAAUUCGGCGCCUGGAGCUGGUUCGGCCGGGGCCCCAGCACCGGUCCAGAGAGGAGGUCCCGGGUCCGCGCGUCUGGCUGUGUCGGACGGUGCUCUCUGUCCCUCCCACUCCCCAGCCCUCCCUUCCAUUUCUCGGCUACCUGCGCGGCUGCAGGCGCCGCGGGGGACUGCACAGAAAAGGUGGUUUCGGCUUGGAUGACGGCCUCAGAGAGGGACGAAAAACGCCCCCUGGUCUCCCAGCAGAGGCCGGGGGCCUGUCUUAGGUCCCAAGCCUCGAAAAACGUCCCGGGUCGGCCGUGCGGGGUCCGGCGGCAGGAGAGAAGCCCGGGGCACGCUCGGUUUCCGGAUACGGCUAUUCCCCGCACCUCACCCUCUGCCCUUUAGGGAAAUGGCCCCCCCUCCACCGACAUUUCCCGGGUUCACCACCCCCACGCCCCAGGAACCGCGCCUCCUCCCCUCCCCCGCGCUCUCCCCGGCGCUUUAAAUAAUGAUAUUUGCAUGCAGGGAGCGAUUCAUAAAUAUGUCAGGGCUGGUGAAAUAUAGGCAACAUUUCAAACUUUCUAUUUAAAAAACAUGAAUUAUGGCCGCGGAAAAUGUGUUCCCAUUUAAAGGCGAUACGAAGUAUUUGGUGUCUCGUCCCCGGGCCCAUCCAUCACGCAGACAAUAAAGAGAGUUUUUCGCCCUGACACCCGCGAUUUAUGGGCGCCCUUCUCUGCCCUCAUCACUCACCCGCCGCGGCCGGCCUGGCGACAGGCCCCGCGGAGAGACGCGCGGCCGCCCCCGCGCGGGCUAGCGAGCGCACUUUGCGCCCUCGCCGGCCCCGCAAGAUCUCGACUCCCAGAGGGAAGCACCCGCUCCCAGGAGUUGGGGGAAUCGGUCUUGAGGGUCUGGGCAGCCGAGUGGGAGCGGAAACCACACUGGUUCUCCCACCCCGUGCAGCCUCUCAGGGCUGGGGCCGAGCGCGCCGUGGCGGGGUUUUGCUAGCCUUUGCUGUGUCCUGGCCUCGCCGGCGCCGCGCCUGGAAGUUUGCAGGGCAGGCGGCGGGAAGUUAUUUAAACGCUGGCUCGAAGUGAGCACGGAGAACUGGGCCGGGGGUUACCCAGGCCAAUUCUUGGGCCAUUCCGCCCCAAGGAACGUGAAGCUGUCCCCAAGCUUUCUUGAGCCCCGCCGGGCGGACGCUUCUGGGCUAAUCUUUCUGCAACUUUUACAAAGCCGCUUCCUCCCCAGUUUGAUCUCUGCAAACACAUCCUGGGCGUCCGCGGCAGCUUGGAAACUAUUUUUACCGUCUAGGGCCGAGGAGUUGCAUUGAAAUAAGGAAGGCGAGGCGCCUUCUCUUGCGUUUCGCCCUGGGCCAGGCUGGGUCACCCAGUGUCCUUUUUGCCCCCUCGCCCCACCCUUCGCGCGCCCUCCGGAGCCGCCAUCGAAUCUCUGUUGCUAACUUGCAGCGCUCUGGAGUUUCUUCGAGAUCCAGGCUCAAGAGAGAGCCUUCGUCAAGGAAAGUUCGGGCUACCUCUGUAGGGGAAUUUGCUUUCAUUUUUCACUGCGGGCGAACCUGGCCAGGCGGGUUUCCGAAGCACCGUCAGAGCUGGGGGCUGCCAGGCAGUGAGAGGCCGCUCGACCUGGGGGCGCCGCUUGUCCAGCCUCCCUCGGAGGCCGGACUAGCAGCCGCCCAGGCACUAGGAGCCACCUCGAGUCCCGCGUUGGGCCGAGGUGUCGGCGUACACGCGAGCCGGGAGCCGUUUCCUGCAGGAUGUCUGCGAGCUGGAUUUAUUCGGAUAAAUGCAGUGCAAACGACAGCCAGAGAAAUCCCGUCGAUUCUAAAAAUGACAAGGUUGAAUUUAUUAGACUGAGAUUCAUGUGUAAGUGCAGGGAGAUGAAAGUUAUACAAACAGCUCCACGUCCACUGUGAACACCACUGAUCGCUUCCAGCUUCCAGGGCAUGUAAUUAACACAUCUGAAUAUUUAGAUAUAGAGAGAAAUAUAAAAAUACUCUUAAAUUCUCCGUGUGUGGACAUAUAUUUCACUUGAAAAAAUUACAGAACAAGUGUCCUUUUACAGCCCCUGCUUGGGUGUCAUCAGGGCUGGAGAUAGAACUUAUGUCCAAAUAACCACCCAGAGAAUAUUAUCUAUAACCAGUGUGAGUCCCGCAUCGCUGAGGGUUACGGUAUCUACAGAUCUUUAAAUAUCUGCAGCGUGGCAGAGGUGAAAUAAAUAUAUUUAAGAAAAGCAGGCGCGAAGAUAACCGAGCCACUGUGUCCAAACAAUAUUUCUGGGCAUGGAAAUAAAUUUCCUACAAGGUCGGCAGUGGAGAGUGCAGACAAAUGGAGAGGAUUUCGGAAACCCUGUGUGGGGGCCACCGGUCCUGGACCCCAUGCACCAUGCAAGUUGAAGUGGGCUCUAUUGGAUGUCCGUGGCCUCCCCGCGUGACUGCUGCGAGAGGCUCGGCCCUGACGCCCAAUACUGCAGCGCCCUGGGGGUCCUCCGAGAUACAGGCUACAGGCGCGAAGAGCCUUCGCGGAGCACUGAACCGACAUAUCAGGUGGCAGGCCUGAGCUGCACCGGGCAGCCCUUUCCUCGCAGACAGUUCAGCUACCCCUCAAUCCUGGCUCCACCUGGCUCUGGCAGUGGCUGUUUGGGUCUAUAGAUGUGGAGGAAGAGCGCAGAAAAGGGCAGGUCCGGCUCGAUUCCGAGGCAUCCCAAAGCAGGAAGCGGAGGCCACCGGGAAGAAGGCCACGAUUUUUGCGCCUUCUAGAAGUCAGGCCCCACCCAUACUCUUGGGGCACUAACUUGAGGCCACAGAGGCAGUUAUCUGGGUGUAUUUACUUCUAUCAGGCACACACACAGUCACUACUGAGGCCCGGAUGCCCCCGUGAGUCUUAUCUACGUAUUUGAAAAGCCCGGGCAACGCCAACAGCGAGGUCGGCAACGCUGCGGCUGUGAAAUUCCAAGGCCAAAUACUAAUUCCAGAAUAGGGCAAUUGUCCACCAGUCUCUCUCCCUCUUUUUUUCCUCUUCACCCCUCCAAAACCACCCAACCCUUAAACAGGAGCAGAGCUUCUCAGAGCCCCUGCUCGGAAAGAGAUUAGAGAGGACUUUGCCAUGAGUUUCUAGGAACUGCACACUCCUGGGGCAACCCUGCCGCGGGAGAAAUACCGCGGGAGAAAUACCGCGGUGCCUGAGAACGUCCUACUCCAGGCAGUGUGACUGCGCACGAAGGGUUUAUGCCGCACACCGAGAAGAGGGAGCCAGAAUGGGAAAUACUCUCUGGCAAGUAAGAAAAGGGA